CUUGCCAGCAUCAGGAUGGGAGCCGGAUAGGGAGCCUUUCCCUCCCGUGGAUGUCUCUUGCCUGGAUUUGGUUUGCUUGGUGCUGUGUUUGGGCUGAUGGCGACCUCGUGUAGUUCAUCGUCUCCUUUGGGACCCGCCUGCAGCCCUCAGCAUCUCCCAGCACUGUCCUCGCUUACCGCAGCGGCACCUACGAGCCCGGCAGGAUUAUUGAUUCAAUGCACUGAUUCUGUUCUGUGUGAAUCCAUCUCCUGAAUGCCAGCACCAGAAAGCUUGAAAUUCUCAGCUUGUUUUUUCCUGACCUGGAAUGAAGCCACGUUUCAAAAUGUGGAUGUUUUGAGACAGACCUUACCUUCUUCAAAGUGCUGGACCUCUGCUCCAAUCCAACUUCAGCAGAGCAACUGGCUGUCGCCGGCGCGGCUGGGAAUUUUAUAGGGGUUUGCAGCUGCACCCGUUCAGACGGCUGCACUGAGACUGUUCCAGCAGUCUCUGCUUUCAGCUCCAGGGGUGGACACUACAAAUCACGAGUAGCUUUUGCAUUAUGGUCCCACCAAGGAAUGCUAAUCAUGAACUCAGCUCCCUCUGUGAUGGGUAUUCUUUGUGUUUCUUGGAGUCCGAGUGCCGUAGGACCUUUGGGUAAUGAAGCCCAAUGGGAGAGAGCAAGGCCACGAGCGUUAGGGUGAGGUACGGUGCAAGUGGACACACCUGGACUGCCUGGUUUGAACCGGCAUCGCUGUACAGAUGCUGGGAGAGCAUUAUGCCAGGGCAUCUUUCCAUUGCCAUUCCCAGACCCCAAGCACUUGCUCACCCGCUUUAUGCAACUGAAAUCCCGCUCUGGUUUGUUGGUGUAAUAUCGGCACGCCCUUUUUUAUUAGCGCAGAGCCCAUGGGGGAAGGAGAAGUUGAUGGGGUGGGGACCCCUUGGUUUAGCAACGCCAGUUCCACACCCACCCUUCAGCUGGUCUGCUUGCGAUCAUCGUUCUGGGGAGCAGCAGACCAGGUCAAUUACUCCAUAACAGCUCCAUCUAUGACUCUUCAGUCAUGCAGCUGUAUCAGAAUUACAACAAAAACAGCCUCAGUUAUCCUAGUUGGAUGUGAAAGUAGACGCGUGUUCCAUGAGAAGCGGUGAUGCCAGAAUGUGGAGGUCAAUGUUGUUCAGUGUUUUUUUGGCAAAGGAAAAACCUAUCGUAUGGAAGCCGGUGCCUGGGGAAUCUCCAUGGAGCAGCGAGAUGAGCUUUGUGCACGACUGGAGAUAAUCGGGCUUGGGGAGAUGAUUGAGCCAGGGAAUAUUGGAGAGCAGCUCGGCACGGCUGCCAGCAACCCCCCAAGCCCAGUGGCCACCCUUCUUUGCGAUGAAGUCAUUGGAAGCAACAAAGUGAUUUAUCCGGGGAGCCAACCUGCCUCCAGAACGCCUGAAGGCAAUAGUGAGUUUCUGGUACAUCUGGAGCCAUAUUAUGAGUAGGUAUUUGUAUUCUCAGCCAUCUGUGAAUACGGGUGCUAGCGAUACGGCCUCCUUCCCCCCAUCAGCUCCAAGUUGCCAAGUUUCCUUCUUUCUUUUUUUUUCCCUUCCCUCCAGCAAAAGGCUCCUAGCUCUUCUCUCCUGGAGAACGAGGUGCUUAGCACUGUCAGCACCACAUGAGCCAUCCCUGCAGUAACAGACCUGCAUCCAAGGAGAUGUAGGCAAUGUGUUAGUACUUGUGGAAAAAUUCCCCCAGAGCUUCCAAUUUUCACUGGAAUUAUUAAAAACAAAAAGUAGAGAAAGUUUUGUUCAUGAAGCUCUGGAAAACGCCACUGAUAGUAUCUUUUCGGGGCUGUUUUCAACCUCCCACAUUAAAAGAUGAGCUUGAGGUACCAAGUGUUGGGCUUGCGUUUCCAGUUUUCCAGUGUUUUGGGACUCCAAGCAACAGGAUGAUGUGGACUUGAAAUUAUCUUUUGGCUUUUGUGGCACAGAGACCAAUGUGGAAGGAGUGACCAAACCUUCAACAGCUGCUGAUGGAGAGGAGACCAUCACAGCAGACCGGAGCUGCUCCUCCAGGAGAAGACUGCCCAAAGGAUGGUCAGAGCCCCGCAGCAAUGGGCUGUGAUGUGGUUUUGAUGAGGUUCACCUCUUGCUCUGAAGAAAUCUACAGCCUUUCAUCGUCACUCCCAGGAACUGGAUCCAUUCUGAAGAACAACAAUACAUGGAAAAUGGAAUAUUUUGCUUAUUAAAGUAAGUUGGAUUUCCAGCUCCGAGGUUGGCAACAGGAGCUCGGAGAAGCUAUGGAGCUGGAGAGCACAUCAUUCCCCCUUCCAAAAGAAACCUCGCUGUGUGCCAGCACUUUUAUUUAUAAUGUUAAAAUAAGUUGAGUACAUUAAAAGGUAUUAUUGAGGGAGCAGGACUUAAAAUAUAUCAUUUUUAUGUCAUUAGGCUGCUCUAAGUGAGGUGUCCUACUGCAGGCAGAUAAUCUGUCCCCCUGCCUAGAUUCCAUGCUGGAACUUACUGGAAGCUUUUCACCGCAAGAAUCUGAGCAAACCGAUUAUUUUCAAGGAAAGAAAAGGGAGAUUGAAGAAAAUAAU
rnacentral:lncRNA from 7 species